rnacentral:lncRNA from 1 species
UUAUGGGAGACGGUCCAAACUGAGGAUGCUCUCAAAUUCGAAUUCGAUUUGUGACACCAGCCUUGUAGUCCUCGGCUCUUUCAACUUUUGACAGCUAGUACCCCAUUACAAUUAGUGUUAUUUCAGGUAGAGAAGCAGGUAUUGAUAAUUUGCAAAUUUUCCAUCAGGUUCUAAACUCUCCAUAGGGGCCGGGCCGGUCCGGGCCAGUCCAACCACGUUCGGUGGUUUCUUCUUCCCACUCUGUUUCCAUGUUCUCAUCAUUAGGCUAUUCUCUAUUGGCUUUGAAGGGGCAUUUCACUCUUUCAUCCAUAACUUGUUAGUAUAUUACUUUGGUACCAUAUAUUUCCGUCUUGCUGUUGAGGUCAAACUCGAAUUCCAAACCAACCAACACAUAAAAUUGAAACCAAAUUGAAGUAUAUUAUUGAUUAUUCAAUCAUGAUCAUAUGUUGCGUGAUACAACUUUUGGAAACACAGAAAAAACAACACAUUUGAAAGGAAAGCUAUAAUUUAUGUUUAGAGUUCAUCCUUGGGAGAAUAUGAAGGUCCAGUAGGAUUAGAGGAUGAGUUCUUGAUGGGAUAUGAAGCCUCCAUUGCUAUACCACACAGUCCUUGUUUGUCUCUGAUCCCACGUUCCAUCCUUAUGUAACCUUUCUCACCCCAUUCCGCUCCCCAUGAGUUCUUCACUAUCCAGUACUUGGUUCCAUCCAAGGUUGUUCCAUACCCCACUGCUGCUACCCCAUGGUUCAGCUCUGUCCCACAUUCUCCCGUGAAUACCCCCUCGGAGUAGAACUGGAAAUCCAUACUCCCAGCAUCAAUAGCCACUGAAACCGGCUGGUUUGCAACAGCUUUAAGCAGAGCAUCCUCGUCGUUAGCUGGCACAUUCUCGUGCCCAUCGAUAGCCACUGCCGGAGAAUUCACCUUGGCAGCAUCGCAACUUCCAUCAUUAGCUUGGUAAGGGUAAUUGGACUCAGUAGUAAUCCCACCUUUCUUCUUAAUGAAAUCGAAUGCAAUGUCCAUUAAACCACCAUUGCAACCUUGGUUUUCUUCAGUGUCGCAAUCUAUCAAUUCUUGCUCCG